UCCUCCCGGGGAGGAAACUCCCAGGGGUGAAUCACCCGUGAUUCAACCGCGCGGCAGAGCGCGAUGCUUCCCUUCGGCCCCGGCGGCUCCAGGUGCGGCGGGGGACAGGGUCCCCCGGCUUCUCGGCCCCGUCACCCCCGGGCCACCUAGGCCGGUGACCCCAACGUCCGACCUGAGUGGGCAGGUACGGAGGUCAGUUAGUCCAGGCUCAGCCCAGCCCAGCUGGGGUCGUGACCGAGGAAGAGCUGCUGUAGUCUGGCGGUUUGCCCUUGGGAGAAUUCCAGCAUGACAUCUGCAGCUUGGUGGUUCCAGAAAGGAUUGUUCUCACACGAAGAAGACAUUCGUGGGACUGAGUUCCGCCCAAGUGUAGAGAAAUCAAAAAUGAAAUUAAAAAAUAGCAUCAGACUUUUUUUUUUUUUUUUUUUUUUUUUUUUUUGCCGGUCUUAAGCAUUGGGUUUUUUUUGGAAUCUAUUUCUGGCUUCCUCUUCUGGGCUUUCCUGUAAAAUUGUCAGGCAAGAGAACGUUAACUCCUAUUCUAAGUGGCAUUGUAAGAGGUAUUGUCAAAGUACUUGACAUCAUUCUGUUUUAUUACUAUGUAGUUGCCUCCAAGACAGAUUGGAGAGGUUUUAGGGAGCAAGCAGAGUCUCCCACUUUUUUCUAGGGAAUUUAGCCUUGCCUUUUAGUACAUACUACAUACACAUUUCUAUAAUGCCUGUUGAGCCAUAGCAAUACACUCAUUUUAAAAGAAAUAAAACCCUGCAAAUUUUUUUUUCUCCCUCUGCCUGAACUGAAAUAGCACCUCCAGGUUUAGCUCUUGUCCAUCUUUCCUGGAAGCUGAAAGCUGCACUUGAUGGUUUCCUCUUUGAGACUUCUUCCAGGCCUAAAACCCACAGAAUUUAUAUUUACAAAAUGAGACCAUGCAAGCCUCUUUUUUGUAGUCUCUGGGCCUGAGUAAUUUUCCCUAACAGAGCUUUAGCCCAGCCUGGGAUGUGAUUCUUUGCACUGAAGUUGAAGGUACCUACAAGAAAAUGUUAUACUUGCUUCCCAAGACCCAGGGAAUUGUUGCUUUACCUCCAGAGUAAUUGGUUCCAUUUGGAGCCACUGACUGUCCUGAAAUUAUAAAGGGCUUUAAGUUAUGUCAAGAUCAGCAUUUUGGCAAGGAAAAUAUGUUUAAUGUUAGAAGGUGACACAAAAAGGGAUGUAAAGGUUGAUAAAUUAGAUAAAUUUUUAUUUUGCAUAUUCACUAAAAUUAUCAGAUAAGGAAGAGAAGAAUUCGUUGGGUUUCUGGGGAGGUUUUGAGUAAAUGUGGAAUUAACAUUCUUAAAAGUUUGAAAAAUGUUUAAAAAAUUUAUUGCUGUUUUCAAGAAAAAGAGGAAGCAGACUGAUAGUAAAUAAUAUCUCUGUGAUAUCACCGUUGAUCAGACAGUGGCCAGACAACUUCUAGAUCACUGUUGCUUGGCACUGUUAAGAGUACAUUCCUAAAGUUUUACUAUUGAUAUUUAUUACACAGAAACAAAUUAAUUGUUAAAAUAUUCCCUACUCUUAUAUUUUUUUUAAACUUCCUUCCGUGAACUUGAACUGAGCGGUUACCAAAACUCCCUCCUACCUGAUGUAUCUUGAAGAUUCUGAGAAGCGUGAAACAUGCCUAAACUAUAAUGAUAAUCAGGCUGGCCUGACCAGUCCCUUUAUGAUUAGAUCUUAGAGUACCAGAGGGUUGGAGGGGACCUCACAGACAUCCUUCUAAGAAUGAGAAGCCUAUGACCAGUCUCACAGAGCAGAUCUGGUCUUCUGGCCUCACAGACUUUUUUUUUUCCCACAACCAUGCUUUCUUCUACUCCGAAUACAUGGAAGUAAGAUUGGGUCAUAAACCCAAGCUUACUUGAUUAAUUUACUCAUCCACAGACAUUCAACAAUGCUCUACAGUAGGUGUAGAAAACUCUGGCAGUUUGAGGAACGCACCAUUCUCCAAUGGAAAUAUCCUGAUGGUUAUUCCUUGACGCGUGCAUGUAUGGAUCCUCAGGAGAGGUCGUGUUCCUUUUGCAUAAACAGUGAUGCACUGUGCUUGAUGAGGAGUCUAGAAAUGACUGGGCAGCUUUGCAGCCCUUCCUUGGUAGCCCCCACUAACUGCACUGACUUGGUUUUAUCGAAUUCUUCACUUGAUUUCAACGGCGUGUUUGUCGUCUUUCUUCCACCCUAGAGCUCCUUGGGGCACUAGGGACUGGAUUUUUUCCUUUACAUGUCUCAACCCUUUGCACAAUUACCAGCACAUGGUAGGCUUUUAUUUUAAUACAUUUGAAUCAAUGAACAUUUUUCUGGGAACUGUACAUGCAGCCAAAUAUUUUCAUUGGCAUUUAAGAGGCGAAAUUUGUCAUUGAAAUUUUUCUGUCUAGUGCUGGGCAGUGAGUGUUCCAUAAUGCUUAGAUGGGUAAGAAAAUGCAAAUCCAUCGUGGGUUGCAUGGUAUUACUUGACAGCAAGCUCCAGCUGGCUAAAUAGUAAAUAAUGAUUCUUGCUACUGCCAGAAAAUGUGAGCAGGAGGAGAGGUAGCUGGAUAGCAGGAAAACAAAUGUGGAAGUUUGGGAAGUGGUUAGCAUUUUUCUAAAAGCCUCGGUUCUAGGAUGAUUCAGAAGAUUUUCAGUCAUAUGAUGAGGCUGUUGUUGCAUGGCAAGGCUUCCUGACUUUUUAGAGUAAAUUGUACAAAAGGUAUAUCUCUCCGGGAAGGGGAUAGGUUAAGCUUUGGGAUCUGUGAACUUGAGAGUAAUUUACAUAAAACUAUUAUAUUCAUAUAAAAGUGGCAAAAAGAGCAAUGAAUUCAUUUUACCCCAAAUCCAGGUAAAAGGCAAACUAUGACAAAAGGCCAGAGGGCCUGAGGGAGUGGGGAACACAGAGUUCUGGAAAAAGAAAAUAUGACUUAGCAAAACUUAAAAAAACAUCUGGCAGGGUAUAGUUAGUCAUGGAAAAAUUGGCAGUCAUGAGUGUGCAUUUUAUGAAAAUAAUUAUGUACUAGUCCAACAGUUAACAUUUAGAGGGAAAUUAAAUAGUGGAGAGCCUGUACAAUGAAAUCUAUUAUCGUCAUCAUUCGAAAAUACUUCUAUUAGCUGUCUAAAAUAGUUUGCAAGAAGCUUUACCAAGUAAGUUAUCACAAAGCAUGUAUUUUAAAAAGCAAAAUUUUAGAGAAAAAGCUUCCAGUUCAAGGCUUAGAUAGGAUUAAUAUUUUAAGCACAAAAGUAUCUUUAUAGACCUAAGGCUUUUCAAACAGUCUGUCAACUUCCAUUUUGGUGGGCAGUAAAUAUUAUUCUUACUCUGUACAUACAAUUUUGACAAAAUAGGUAAAUCAUAAAUGUAAGUUGUGGAUAUUGUUUUAGUAACAAAGAGUCAUUCAAAUGAAAACACAUAAUGUAUGAUCUCAUAAAUAUAACACAUAUAAUUUUAAAGUUUUAAUAUGGUAUAAUUUUAUGUAAGCAUCCUUUAACUCCUAAUUUCUGUGGCUUCUUAACUUGAUGAACAGAAGCCCAUUCAUUCAGUAAAUACUUGAAUUAUCUACCUUAUGUUGAGUUCUCUCUAGACUUUGGGCAUACAGAAUAAAACAAUGAGUCCCUUUCCUAUUGAAUA